GUUUGCACUCGUUCCGGAAUUUAAAGUGAACGCAAGAACAGAAAAUAUGAUAAAUCUAAAUAUGGCGCGUGGUCAGGAAUAUGUUUGCGCGUAAAUAAAAAAAAAAAAAAACCCCUAUUAAAACAGGGACAACUGUAUCGUCCGUGCAAACAACAGAAUGCGGUACCUGUGCGAAAUAUGAAAUAUUAACAACGCGUCCGUACAGCUACACAACUCACCCCGUGACAGCGUGACAGCGCGGCGGGGGAGCGUUUGCUGAGAUUGCUUCAACAGUAAAGACUGUACACUAGGGGCGGCGUUUGACCUCGCAGCUCUUCAAACAUCACUAAUCCCGGACUGACACUCAGGUGGAGAGUCGACGGCUCACUGCCGUGGCUCAUUAACAAAUACCAGCAAGCUAAAAAAAAGCGAAAAUAAAAAUAACAAAAAAACUGCGAGGAACAUGUCAUUGCGUAAACUGGAAAUUGUGACGGAGAACGGGAAACCAAGAACGAUUGGAUUGUCUUACUUUUGAAUAACACUUCAUUUCAACAGAUCCCAAGAUGUUCCAGUAGAGUUUCCUUCGAUAUGUAGUCACUUCUUCCGAACUCCCGUAUUCGUUGGUUAAAAAAAAGAAAUACAAAAGAAAAUUAUCCAACAAGAUCCUAUCCACAUGACUCAAGAGUUGGAUGUAACCGAAACACAUCUGGGCUGCCAAUUAUUCGCGCUUUGAUUCGAUUUGCUCUGUGCUGGUGUGCGAUGCUUCUCCGCGAGUGAGCCAGGCCUGCGGCUCAUUGGACCCGGAGCGAUGAAGCCCAGCCAGACCCCAGCGAGCCUGCAGCCUCGUCCCAGCCUGCCAGGGUGCAGGAGCACCCCCCCAAACACCGGGUGGGGAGAGUAAUCGCCAGCAUGCAGGAUACAGGAACACCGAGCACCGCACUUUCUCCCCCCUGGAUUGCCUCGGAGCCCGCCUUCUGUGUUGCGUUCGGGCGCAAAAGACGCCAGCGGGUGUAGACAGCUGUGAGCGUGAGAGACGCUCCCGAUGUUUCUGACGACACUUCGUUUGGGCUUCUGUGACGGAUUCGCCGCCCCACUUCUCUGAGUGAC